GGACUACUGGGGUAUCUAAUCCUGUUUGCUCCCCACGCUUUCGCGCCUCAGCGUCAGUUUCAGGCCAAAGAGUCGCCUUCGCCACUGGUGUUCCUCCACAUCUCUACGCAUUUCACCGCUACACGUGGAAUUCCACUCUUCUCUCCUGUACUCAAGUCAACCAGUUUCCAAUGACCCUCCCCGGUUGAGCCGGGGGCUUUCACAUCAGACUUAAUUGACCGCCUGCGCGCGCUUUACGCCCAAUAAUUCCGGACAACGCUUGCCACCUACGUAUUACCGCGGCUGCUGGCAC
rnacentral:rRNA from 1 species